rnacentral:lncRNA from 1 species
ACGCCUGCCGCGUUUUACUACUGAGUGUAAUUGCUCUUGUUUUUCUGUUAGGAACUAUCAAAAAGUUAUCAUUGAAAACACUUAAAAACUACUGCUUAAAACUAAAAUAUUAUUACAUAAAUAAACAUAUACAAAUUAAUUUAACAAAACAUAGCUAUUUACAAAAUAAUUCCGUUAAUAUUGUACGACUUUAAUAAUUAUCACAUUGCGUAGGUAGCCGUACCUACAUUCCACAGCCGAGCCGUUACUCUUCCGAUCGGAUGUUCGACACAAUCCUUCUGCCUUUGUAGCGAGAACACCUCGAUUACUCGUAUAUUUUUUUAAAUACGUUUUUUUUACUAAUUUUGUCUACGAUAUAAUAAUUUAUAGUGUUGUGUUAUCCCCAUUGAUUGGGGUUCACCCUUCGAGUUCUACAAUCGCAGGACCUACUACCGGUCCUGUACUUACCUCUACCGUUUCACCCUUCGAGUUCUACAAUCGCAGGACCUACUACCGGUCCUGUACUUACCUCUACCGCUUCACCCUUCGAGUUCAGCAACCGCUGGACCCA